AGUGAACGCUGGCGGCAGGCCUAACACAUGCAAGUCGAACGGCAGCACAGUAAGAGCUUGCUCUUACGGGUGGCGAGUGGCGGACGGGUGAGGAAUACAUCGGAAUCUACUUUUUCGUGGGGGAUAACGUAGGGAAACUUACGCUAAUACCGCAUACGACCUACGGGUGAAAGCAGGGGAUCUUCGCACCUUGCGCGAUUGAAUGAGCCGAUGUCGGAUUAGCUAGUUGGCGGGGUAAAGGCCCACCAAGGCGACGAUCCGUAGCUGGUCUGAGAGGACGAUCGGCCACACUGGAACUGAGACACGGUCCAGACUCCUACGGGAGGCAGCAGUGGGGAAUAUUGGACAAUGGGCGCAAGCCUGAUCCAGCCAUACCGCGUGGGUGAAGAAGGCCUUCGGGUUGUAAAGCCCUUUUGUUGGGAAAGAAAAGCAGCAGGUUAAUACCCCGCUGUUCUGACGGUACCCAAAGAAUAAGCACCGGCUAACUUCGUG
rnacentral:rRNA from 1 species